rnacentral:lncRNA from 1 species
UGGAGCCCACAGCCACGCGGCCAGCUCUGACUUCCAAAUGCCAUUUGCAGUUGGGCAUCUGUGGCCUGCUCUGCCACGGUCCAGGAUUUGGGCCAAUUGGGGCUGAAACCCAGGGAGAGGAACCUCCAGGAGACCCAGAACUUCCCCACCAGGUCCCCCUCCUCAUUCAGAUUGCCAGCUGGAGAGGUGCAGGGAGCUCCCUCCUUCCUUCCUUCCCGGUUUUGAUUAACACCCAGGUGAAAGAAGAAGUUGGUGCAUACUUUCUCUUGACUAGAGGGGCAGGGAAUCCGUUUCUGAUGCUUUUUCCCAGUUCCCAGGAGUUGCUCAAUAAUGAAUGAAAUCUAUCAAUCAAUAGACAUCCAAUAAUGCUAUCAUUUAGAUAUGUAAUAUGCAAUGUUUUUACCAUAAAGAAUGUGUGAGACUUAAAUAUGGUCUCCAAACAAUUUCACAGAUUCCUCUCAUAUUGGUUUUGGUUUGCUUCCUUUUUUGGUAGUGUCAUUUGGGUAUGAGAUUCUUUUGAAAAAUCUUUGCUGUUUUUUAGUCCCAAGUGAAAAUGUGUAUCUUCUUUCUUGCUCCUCAAUUUUAGUGUCUGGUUAAUACUGAUGUGCACGGAUGAAUUUAAAACAUGGCGGCUCAUCUUCAAGCAGGGCAAAGAAGGAAAGCGAACAGCAACUCUGCCCCAUGAGAAAAUGGCGCCACCCAUGACAAGGACAGAAGGCUCUACCUCGUUCUUCUGCU